ACUCCUGAGCAAGUUUGUUAUCAGUGACUCCAAUCUGACCUUUAGCAAGUCGAGCAUUCUCCUCACGCUCUCUUCUACGGCGCUUUAAAACACAUAUGGCACAAAGGCAAUCAUGUUUGUGGCGCCUUCCAUGACGCUUUUUUGUCUUCUGUUUAGAUUGACCACUUUUACCAUAUCCCUGACUUGAUGCUCCAGCAUCCUCCAUUUGAGUGCCUUCAGCACCUGGCACAAUGAAAAUAAAUACCGCUCAGUGCUCAGGCUGCCAUAGUAAAAUGAAGUAAAAAAUCCUUAAACCAAUGGACCCAGCAUGUUUCAAUUUAAACAACUCGAAGCUCAAAAACAUAGAUAAACCAUGAACAUAUGAAUCAGCUGUUUUAGCUGUCAGCACAGAGCACAAACCCCUCUAUGAACAAAUUGCAUUGAUUACCAAUUGGUUCCCUGCCACACAUAUGAUUUGGCGCUAAAAAUCUUAUAUGGAAAGGGUUCAGCUGAUCGGUAACCAUACUUGCUUCAGGAAAUAGAUUCCCUGCCACAUUAGUUCUUUCGUGACAUACUUUGACCCCUACAGCUCCUACUUAAGAUCCACAUAAUCAAGCUAAUGACAAUUUUGAAUGGAAAUCUGAUAUACAAAUGCUGCUAGUUAAAAGUUGUGACCUGAAUUAAUAAAAGAAAAAGUAACAUUAUAAUUGGCAAAAGCAUUGAAAUACAUUCUCUUGUUUCAAGUCCAAAAAUAAUUGGAGUACAAGAACAAAAGAUAUUCCUCCAUUUGGGAUGCUAAGUUUUAUAACAAUAGAAAAAGACCCAGGGAGCAGGGAAAGACCAAGUAUUCAUACAGUGGACAAUGAUUCUGCAUGCCUAUUGAUAAAAGCUACAUUAGUGUUGAUAUGAUAAGAAAGACUGGUUCAUUUCAAUGCACAUCAAAACAAGAUGACAAGUAAAUUUUAAGCUUUAUUUGGUAAACCAGAUUUUUCUUUUGGAUAUUGUAAAAAACUAUGGGAAAAGCAAAGAUAAGUUUACCAAAGGAGCCUCAGCAGUUAGCACAAAAAUAAAAAUGAUUUGACUGAGAAAUAAAACAACCAUAACAUCCUUACCAUUGGAACCUCUUGCUUGUUCAGUGAAUAAACCAGCUGCAGUCCAAUACUUCAUAAAAUUCUUCUUCACCCUUCUUAUGAGGUCAAUAUAUAGUCACCUUUACUAUUAUACUUAUAACAGUUGUCCCAAAUGAAUUGAAUAUCUUUAUAAGCAUCCUCUGAGUUCAUAUAUUUAUCAUCUUUUUCAAGAUUUCUGCAUAUUGUUCCAAAGUCCAUUGGUGUACAAAUGAUGUCAAAAUAAUCCAGGUUUUAAAUGAUCCCACAAAAAAAAAAAAAAAGUUACUUUAUGGAAAGAAAUAAACAUAUCAAGCAUUCUGGCAUAAAAAUAUAGAACUGUUAUCAGAACAAACCUAGUACUUCCACAUUUUCUAUUCAUCUUGCAUAAAGAAAUACUGAGUGCUCAGUGAUGGACAAUAUUUUCUCUCUUGUCGUAUAUAGGUGGUGAUUGAUAUGACAUGAUGAAGACAGAUGAGAUUCCUAUGGUAUACCUGAGGGUGGUCAUUAAAUAGAGAUAGAGAGAAAUGCAGAGAAUAAUAAUGAGCCAGCAAUCAUAAACGAGAGACUACGGCUUCUAAGCAUUUGUUGAUCCACACUCAUCAAAGACAAGUAGCAGUCAACACCAAAUUAAUUGCAAAAGCUUCAUUGAUCUUGGCAAUUCUCUCUAAGGAGCUGCAACACUCAAAUUCACCAAUCUAGGCAAAAUGAGAGAGAACAAAGGGAAAAAAAGAGAAGCGGGAAAGAGGGGGGGGUGGGGGAAUUGUUGGGGUUUGGGUGGUGUGGUAAUAUAAGCAUUGUGCUAUAAGGACCAUAGAUAUAAUGUCAUUAAGCACCCCAAACACUUACAGGUAUUCCUAGAGCUUCGGGAUUCACAGGAACAUUGAAGGUUUCAGCUGCAUCCAUUUUCAUUACCUUCUUAAUCCCCUGAAAGGAUAAAACUAAACAAAAAUAAGUAUAAUUAAUCACAUUUCAACCACACUGCAAUGACAAACUUGACAAUCAUGUAGUCAAUAAAAGCAAAGGCAUCCCGCUUGAAACUUCUAACAUACCAACAUGGCAGAAUCUAACUCUUGCUUGUUAUAUUGAGAUUCCUGAUGAGGUGUCUUCGAUUCCUUUUGUUGUAAGCUCUCAUCCUGCACCAUUACAGUGCUACCACUCUUCUCAACACUCAAUCCACCAAGCACUUUUGAGAACUUAAUCUUUAUACUGCCAGGUUUCUUUGACACAUUUCCAGGAACAACAGUUUUGAUUUCGGACAGGGAGUUGCCAGUAUCUUCAAUUUUAUCACUAACCAGACCUUGUUUCUCCAAACCUAGUUGUGGGCUACUCUUAUCAGUAUCGCUCUGUGAUUCUAACACCUUCGAAGUCUUGAGCUUAACCUUAACGCGCCCAAAUGACUUCCCUGCAGUCUUGUCAAUCGAACCAUCAGGGUUGAUACUAGCAAGAUUCAAUGGUUGGUCGUCAUCAUCUGCAGCCGAAUUAUCUUCCCCAUCCAAACUGACUAAAUUUACAGAUGCCUCAUUUGUGGCAGCCACAGGAACGCCCUUUUGCCUGCCCUUCUUGUUCCCUUUCUUUCGCUUCAUAUUAUACGCUAACAGAAGGCCAAAACAAAACAAUCACAAAAGAAUCUCAUAUAUCUACAAUUCAACACAUUUUCAGAAGAUCCCAAUCGGUUACAAUUAAUUUCCAAGCCCAUUGCUUCACACCAAAAGGAAAAAUAGUACACUGAAUAUAAAAUUGAAAAUUUCUCAUUCAAUUAUCGAAAAUAUGAAGCUUCAAAGAAAAUUUACAAGCAAAACCCAAAAAAACGGAUAACACGAGUACACAUCAAUCUUCCCUAACCAGCAAACCCUCGAAUCAACCUGUAUAAAAGAAAAAGCGCAAAUUAGCAGCUGAUAAAUAGCACCACACCUUCUUCCAGUUGAAGGAGAAAUUCGAGCUGAUAAUAGAUUCGG
rnacentral:misc_RNA from 1 species